rnacentral:lncRNA from 1 species
UUGUAAAUAAGUCCAAAACUCACUCCAUCUCUAAAUGGCCGGCCUUAGGGUAUUAUUGGGCUAAAUGGGCCUUUGUGAAUCAUUAUUCAUUAAGUUGUCAUACAACUUAAGUCAAUGGGCUUGACGUUCGAAGCCCAUUGGGCCUUAAGGUCCAAAACUAUCCCGAGGUCCUUAACGAACUUAUUCGUUUGAUUAAUUAACAUAUUAAUUAAUCCUUGCCAUAAAUAAUUAAACCAUUUAAUUAUUCUUACUCAUCUCCAUUAUUUCUUCAAUCUCCACCUUACACAAUGUACGAUCCAUUAGGUUCCUUUUAGCGAGGUAGUGGACGAUUAAAACCAUUUCAAAUCGAUUGUGAAUUGAAACUUACUUUCAAUUCUCCCUUUAGUGAUUAUACACGUUUAGGGUUUCCACAAACCAUGAGUGACACCUAGCAGUAUAUCAUUGUUACCCAAGCUAAUCAGAAGAGGUGGAGAACCUAUUCAGUUUAGGAUUACAAAUGCAAUACGGUCUUU